UACGUAGGGGGCAAGCGUUUGUCCGGAUUUAUUGGGCGUAAAGAGCGUGUAGGCGGCCAUACAGGUCAGCUGUGAAAACUCGAGGCUCAACCUCGAGACGUCGGUUGAAACCGUAUGGCUAGAGUCCGGAAGAGGAGAGUGGAAUUCCCGGUGUAGCGGUGAAAUGCGCAGAUAUCGGGAAGAACACCCGUGGCGAAGGCGGCUCUCUGGGACGGUACUGACGCUGAGACGCGAAAAGCGUGGGGAGCGUAACAGGA
rnacentral:rRNA from 1 species